AUAAAAAUAUAUAAAUAUAGUUCUCUAACGACUCAAGCUUUUAAAAUACAACGAUUAUUUCACAUGAUAUCAGAACAGGAGUUUCUGAAUUUGAGCCACCUCAAACUCUUAACAUUAUUAAUUUUCUUCUUAUUAAUUUUCUUUUUUUUAAUUUAAGUCUACUCAUGAAUCUUGUAAAAUUAAAGUCUUGAAAACGAUU
rnacentral:lncRNA from 1 species